AGUGAACGCUGGCGGUAGGCCUAACACAUGCAAGUCGAACGGCAGCACAGUAAGAGCUUGCUCUUACGGGUGGCGAGUGGCAGAGGGGUGAGGAAUACAUCGGAAUCUACUUUUUCGUGGGGGUUAACGUAGGGAAACUUACGCUAAUACCGCAUACGACCUACGGGUGAAAGCAGGGGAUCUUCGGACCUUGCGCGAUUGAAUGAGCCGAUGUCGGAUUAGCUAGUUGGCGGGGUAAAGGCCCACCAAGGCGACGAUCCGUAGCUGGUCUGAGAGGAUGAUCAGCCACACUGGAACUGAGACACGGUCCAGACUCCUACGGGAGGCAGCAGUGGGGAAUAUUGGACAAUGGGCGCAAGCCUGAUCCAGCCAUACCGCGUGGGUGAAGAAGGCCUUCGGGUUGUAAAGCCCUUUUGUUGGGAAAGAAAAGCAGCAGGUUAAUACCCCGCUGUUCUGACGGUACCCAAAGAAUAAGCACCGGCUAACUUCGUG
rnacentral:rRNA from 1 species